AAUUUUGGACAAUGGGGGAAACCCUCAUCCAGCCAUCCCGCGUGUAUGAUGAAGGCCUNUGGGUUNUNAAGUACUUUUCGCAGAGNCGAAAAGGUAUCUCCUAAUACGAGAUACGGCUGACGGUAUCUGCAGAAUCAGCACCGGCCAACUACGUGCAAGCAGCCGCGGUAAUACGUAGGGUGCAAGCGUUAAUCGGAAUUACUGGGCGUAAAACGUGUGUAAGCAGUUCGGAAAGAAAGAUGUGAAAACACAGGGCUCUACCUUGGAACUGCAUUUUUAACUGCCGAGCUAGAGUAUGUCAGAGGGGGGUAGAAUUCCACGUGUAGCAGUGAAAUGCGUAGAUAUGUGGAGGAAUACCGAUGGCGGAGGCAGCCCCCUGGGAUAAUACUGACGCUCAGACACGAAAGCGUGGGGAGCAAACA
rnacentral:rRNA from 1 species